rfam:Myotis davidii contig130957, whole genome shotgun sequence.
GGCGGUUCUCAAGUGAUGCACCCCAGAACUGAGCUCCCUCCUCUCUGGUUCCGGGUGAGUCACCCGAGAACUGCA